UACGUAGGGGGCAAGCGUUGUCCGGAAUCAUUGGGCGUAAAGAGCGCGUAGGCGGUCCGGUAAGUCAGCUGUGAAAGUCAAGGGCUCAACCCUUGAAAGCCGGCUGAUACUGCCGGACUAGAGUCCGGAAGAGGCGAGUGGAAUUCCCGGUGUAGCGGUGAAAUGCGCAGAUAUCAGGAAGAACACCAAUGGCGAAGGCAGCUCUCUGGGACGGUACUGACGCUGAGACGCGAAAGCGUGGGGAGCGAACAGG
rnacentral:rRNA from 1 species